rnacentral:rRNA from 1 species
UACGAAGGACCCGAGCGUUAUCCGGAUUUAUUGGGUUUAAAGGGUGCGUAGGCGGAUUGAUAAGUCAGUGGUGAAAGCCCAUCGCUUAACGAUGGAAUUGCCAUUGAUACUGUCAGUCUUGAGUAUGGUUGAGGUGGGCGGAAUGUGUCAUGUAGCGGUGAAAUGCUUAGAUAUGACACAGAACACCAAUUGCGAAGGCAGCUCGCUAAACCAUAACUGACGCUGAGGCACGAAAGCGUGGGUAGCAAACAGG